rnacentral:rRNA from 1 species
UAAUACAGGGGGUGCAAGCGUUACUCGGAAUCAUUGGGCGUAAAGAGCGUGUAGGCUGUCUAUUAAGUUUGGUGUGAAAUCCCUGGGCCCAAUCCGGGAAGUGCAUUGAAUACUGAUAGACUAGAGUAUGGGAGGGGUGAGUGGAAUUCCUGGUGUAGAGGUGAAAUUCGUAGAUAUCAGGAGGAACAACAGUGGCGAAGGCGACUCACUGGACCAUUACUGACGCUAAGGCGCGAAAGCGUGGGGAGCAAACAGG